CCUACGGGAGGCUGCAGUCGAGAAUUAUUCACAAUGGGGGAAACCCUGAUGGUGCGACGCCGCGUGGGGGAAUGAAGGUCUUCGGAUUGUAAACCCCUGUCAUGUGGGAGCAAAUUAAAAAGAUAGUACCACAAGAGGAAGAGACGGCUAACUCUGUGCCAGCAGCCGCGGUAAUACAGAGGUCUCAAGCGUUGUUCGGAAUCACUGGGCGUAAGGCGUGCGUAGGCUGUUUCGUAAGUCGUGUGUGAAAGGCGCGGGCUCAACCGGCGGACGGCACAUGAUACUGCGAGACUAGAGUAAUGGAGGGGGAACCGGAAUUCUCGGUGUAGCAGUGAAAUGCGUAGAUAUAGAGAGGAACACUCGUGGCGAAGGCGGGUUCCUGGACAUUAACUGACGCUGAGGCACGAAGGCCAGGGGAGCGAAAGGGAUUAGAUACCCCAGUAGUC
rnacentral:rRNA from 1 species